rnacentral:rRNA from 1 species
UACGUAGGGUGCGAGCGUUAAUCGGAAUUACUGGGCGUAAAGCGUGCGCAGGCGGUUUUGCAAGCCGGAUGUGAAAUCCCCGGGCUUAACCUGGGAAUGGCAUUUGGGACUGCAAGGCUGGAGUGCGGCAGAGGAGACUGGAAUUCCUGGUGUAGCAGUGAAAUGCGUAGAUAUCAGGAGGAACACCGAUGGCGAAGGCAGCUCGCUGGGACGUGACUGACGCUGAGACGCGAAAGCGUGGGGGAGCAAACAGG